rnacentral:lncRNA from 1 species
UAAGCAAAGAAAUGGCCGGUUAUACUGUUCUAUAGAGGAAUGCACGAGGUGUAUGUUGAUUUAAUACCUAUUGGCUAAAAUUCCCCUUAGUAUCUAAACCCUGUCAGAGCGACUGAUUUUUAUUGUUUGUGAGACUUGCUUCAUUCCAUGUCGUUUAAAGGUUUCACUGGAAGCCAGCAGUGAUUUCUUUAGUUUAAGACUCUAAAAAUAAUCAAAUCUGUUUUCUUUUCUUGUUAGGCCCUAGCGGAUUAUAAAUAAGAAGAAAAGGAAUAAAAAUCUCAAAGUAUAUUGAUCAGAGUGCUGAAUAGUGCUUCCAUUCUUCAAGUUUUCUGGUGUUUAAAAGCCAUAUCAAGGUGUUGCUUCCUUCUUCCCUCCCACUGCCCGCCUACUCUUCGACAGUUAUACCAGAGACAGUGAGUAAAGUGUUGGCAUCAAAUCAAAUCAUGUCUUUCGUUUUUAUGCCUUUUAUUCCUUGCAUUUAAAAAAAAUUACUGCUUUUAAAAGUACCAACUCUUAUCUAGACUCUUAUUGGCUACAAUAACAUUCUCAUAAGAUUGUCAGUGAGGGCACCUGAGAAUACAGCUUUUUGAGGUUUCCAACUGGCAAUCUCCUGCUCUCAGAACUGCUCUGGGGGAGGGCAGAAGAGCUGUGGAGUCUUACAGCAUAGUUACUGUCUUCUUAUAUGCCCUUCUUCCCUCUAGGUAC